GACGAACGCUGGCGGCGUGCUUAACACAUGCAAGUCGAACGGAAAGGCCCUGCUUUUGUGGGGUGCUCGAGUGGCGAACGGGUGAGUAACACGUGAGUAACCUGCCCUUGACUUUGGGAUAACUUCAGGAAACUGGGGCUAAUACCGGAUAGGAGCUCCUGCUGCAUGGUGGGGGUUGGAAAGUUUCGGCGGUGGGGGAUGGUCUCGCGGCUUAUCAGCUUGUUGGUGGGGUAGUGGCUUACCAAGGUUUUGACGGGUAGCCGGCCUGAGAGGGUGACCGGCCACAUUGGGACUGAGAUACGGCCCAGACUCCUACGGGAGGCAGCAGUGGGGAAUAUUGCACAAUGGGCGGAAGCCUGAUGCAGCAGCGCCGCGUGCGGGAUGACGGCCUUCGGGUUGUAAACCGCUUUCGCCUGUGACGAAGCGUGAGUGACGGUAAUGGGUAAAGAAGCACCGGCUAACUACGUG
rnacentral:rRNA from 1 species